GACGAACGCUGGAGGCGUGCUUAACACAUGCAAGUCGAACGAUGAAAUGGAGCUUGCUCCAUGGAUUAGUGGCGAACGGGUGAGUAACACGUGGAUAACCUGCCCUUAAUUUUGGAAUAACCCAGGGAAACCUGGGCUAAUACCGGAUAAGUAACCCUGUGGCAUCACAUGGUUUUGGAAAGUUUUUCGAUUAAGGAUGGAUUCGCGGCCUAUCAGCUUGUUGUUGAGGUAAUGGCUCACCAAGGCGACGACGGGUAGCCGGCCUGAGAGGGUGAACGGCCACACUGGGACUGAGACACGGCCCAGACUCCUACGGGAGGCAGCAGUGGGGAAUAUUGCGCAAUGGACGAAAGUCUGACGCAGCGACGCCUCGUGAGGGACGAAGGUCUUCGGAUUGUAAACCUCUUUCGGCAGGGACGAAGCGAAAGUGACGGUACCUGCAGAAGAAGCACCGGCUAACUAUGUGCCAGCCGCCGCCGUAA
rnacentral:rRNA from 1 species